rnacentral:rRNA from 1 species
CCUACGGGGGGCUGCAGUGGGGGAUAUUGCACAAUGGGGGAAACCCUGAUGCAGCGACGCCGCGUGGGUGAAGAAGCGCCUCGGCGCGUAAAGCCCUGUCAGCAGGGAAGAAAAUGACGGUACCUGAAGAAGAAGCCCCGGCUAACUACGUGCCAGCAGCCGCGGUAAUACGUAGGGAGCGAGCGUUGUCCGGAAUUACUGGGUGUAAAGGGAGCGUAGGCGGGGAUGCAAGUUGGGUGUCAAAACUACCGGCUAAACUGGUAGUCGCACUCAAAACUGCAGCUCUUGAGUGAAGUAGAGGCAGGCGGAAUUCCGAGUGUAGCGGUGAAAUGCGUAGAUAUUAGGAGGAAAACCAGUGGCGAAGGCGGCCUGCUGGGCUUUUACUGACGCUGAGGCUCGAAAGUGUGGGGAGCAAACAGGAUUAGAUACCCGGGUAGUC